rnacentral:rRNA from 1 species
UACGGAGGGUGCAAGCGUUAUCCGGAAUCAUUGGGUUUAAAGGGUCCGCAGGCGGGCAUAUAAGUCAGUGGUGAAAGCCUACAGCUCAACUGUAGAACUGCCAUUGAUACUGUAAGUCUAGAAUUCGGGCGAAGUGGGCGGAAUGUGUAAUGUAGCGGUGAAAUGCGUAGAUAUUACACAGAACACCGAUAGCGAAGGCAGCUCACUAGGCCUAGAUUGACGCUCAGGGACGAAAGCAUGGGGAUCAAACAGGAUUAGAUACCCUGGUAGUCCACGCUGUAAACGAUGAUUACUCGUUUUCGGCGAUAUACAGUCGGAGACUAAGCGAAAGUGAUAAGUAAUCCACCUGGGGAGUACGAUCGCAAGGUUG